rnacentral:rRNA from 1 species
UACGUAGGGUGCAAGCGUUGUCCGGAAUUAUUGGGCGUAAAGAGCGUGUAGGCGGCCCGAUUAGUCCGCUGUGAAAGUCCAGGGCUCAACCCUGGAAUGCCGGUGGAUACUGUCGGGCUAGAGUCCGGAAGGGGCGAGUGGAAUUCCUGGUGUAGCGGUGAAAUGCGCAGAUAUCAGGAAGAACACCAAUGGCGAAGGCAGGUCACUGGGCCGCAACUGACGCUGAGGAGCGAAAGCAUGGGGAGCGAACAGG